rnacentral:rRNA from 1 species
GCAGGCCUAACACAUGCAAGUCGAGCGGUAACAUUUCUAGCUUGCUAGAAGAUGACGAGCGGCGGACGGGUGAGUAAUGCUUGGGAACAUGCCUUUAGGUGGGGGACAACCAUUGGAAACGAUGGCUAAUACCGCAUAAUGUCUACGGACCAAAGGGGGCUUCGGCUCUCGCCUUUAGAUUGGCCCAAGUGGGAUUAGGUAGUUGGUGAGGUAAUGGCUCACCAAGCCGACGAUCCCUAGCUGGUUUGAGAGGAUGAUCAGCCACACUGGAACUGAGACACGGUCCAGACUCCUACGGGAGGCAGCAGUGGGGAAUAUUGCACAAUGGGCGCAAGCCUGAUGCAGCCAUGCCGCGUGUGUGAAGAAGGCCUUCGGGUUGUAAAGCACUUUCAGUUGUGAGGAAAGGUUAGUAGUUAAUACCUGCUAGCUGUGACGUUAGCAACAGAAGAAGCACCGGCUAAUUCCGUGCCAGCAGCCGCGGUAAUACGGAGGGUGCGAGCGUUAAUCGGAAUUUACUGGGCGUAAAAGCGUACGCAGGGCGGUUUGUUAAGCGAAGAUGUGAAAAGCCCCCGGGGCUCAACCCUGGGAAACUGCAUUUUCGAACUUGGCAAAACUAGAAGUGUGAUAGAGGGGUGGUUAGAAUUUUCAGGGUGUAGGCGGUGAAAAUGGCGUAGAAGAUUCUGAAAGGAAAUACCCGAUGGGCGAAGGGCAGCCCACCCUGGGGUCAAACACCUGACGACUCCAUGUACCGAAAGCCGUGGGGGAAGCAAAACGGGGAUUUAGGAUACCCCGGUAGGGUCCCACCGCCCGUAAAACGAUUGUUCUUACCUAGGGAGGUUCGGUUUUUUUCGGAACCUUGUCUUUCCAAAAAGGCUAAACGGCAUUUAAGUUAGACCCGGCCCUGGAGGAAGUAACGGGCCGGCAAGGUUUAAAACUUUCAAAAUGAAAUUUGAACCGGGGGGCCCGGCCACCAAGCGGGUUGGGAGCAUGGUUGGGUUUAAUUUUCCGAUGCAACCCGCGAAGGAAACCCUUACCUACACUUUUGACAUUCCAAAGAGAACUUUUACCUAGGAGAUUUAGGUUUGGGUUGCCCUUUCGGGGAAAACUCUGAGGGACCAGGGUGGCUGCCA